UCUCUCGUGCUGAGUUCGAGCCAUGUCACCUCAUUCAGUGCGCGUUCUUCUCCAAUGACAUUAACUUCUGCGUCUCGCAGGUGCUUGACCCUACAGUGGCCAGUGACAUGAGUGCGGUGACAUCGGAAGCUGCUGCCUCGCUUGAAUCCCUGGUGGACGUUGCACGCAGAGAAUUGGGAGAAACGCCUGCAAUAAAACAGUCAACUCUGAAUGAUUUGCGUCAGCUUAUUUCAGGGGAACCGUCGUUGUGCUGCCCCACGGAUGAUGCCUUUCUGGUCAAGUUUCUGCGAGCCCGUAAGUACGACACGCAGUCCUCUUUCACGAACGUCAAGAAAUACUUCAGGGUUCGAACGGACCAUCCGGAACUGUUUAAAGACCUAACUCCAAGCCGCAUCCUUUUCGACGUCGUUUGCCGCAAAAAUCGGCUGUUGACGGUGUCCCACCACAAAGAUCCAAUAGGAAGAGCAGUUGUGCUGCUCAAGAUCGGGGCAUGGAAUACUGGCAUCUGCACGCUGAACGACUUCUUGAGAGUGACCUUAGCUGGGGUCGAGUACUUCCUUCUUCAGUAAGACUUUCAGGUUAGGGGCGUCGUAGGCAUUGUGGAUUUAAAGGGCCUCAACGUCUAUCAUAUGGCUCACUUCACGCCGUCUGUUAUAAGAAUGCUCGUCGACCUUAUACAGGACUGUUUGCCUCUGCGCCUGAAAGGAUUAUACAUUAUCAACAAUCCUCCAAUAUUUGACGUCUUCUUUGCAAUUGCCAAGACCUUCCUUAAGGCAAAACUAAUAAAGCGGAUUCACCUUUUUGGCUACGAUUUGGAGGAACUGCGCCAUCUCGUGCCGGAUGACGUCAUUCCGGAAGAACACGGAGGGAAGAACGAAAGCUACGACUACGACCCAGUGGUGAAGGAACUGAAGAAUGCAGAAAGUUUCUACCAGGCGCUGGGCUCUUACGGAUACCGCGAAGCAUUGACUCAAGCGGCGCCUGAAGCGAACGGCGUGCGCAUUGAAGAGGAACUGUCAAGUGAAGAAUACGUGCACCUUUGAGCAACCUUUCAAUGGGCUUAAACGUGGUGGUUGCUCUCACUUUCUUUUUUUUGCAUAUUGCUGAUGCUUUUUAACGCGGCAGCGUUAAGGGCCCCGUGUCGCAGAAAAUCCGGCGUCGGUGCCGGCGUCCGCGGCCGGGAAAAUCAUCCCCAACCACGCA